rnacentral:rRNA from 1 species
AUUGAACGCUGGCGGCAGGCCUAACACAUGCAAGUCGAACGAGUGGCGGACGGGUGAGUAAUGUCUGGGAAACUGCCUGAUGGAGGGGGAUAACUACUGGAAACGGUAGCUAAUACCGCAUACCAUCGGAUGUGCCCAGAUGGGAUUAGCUAGUAGGUGGGGUAAGGGCUCACCUAGGCGACGAUCCCUGGCUGGUCUGAGAGGAUGACCAGCCAAACUGGAACUGAGACACGGUCCAGCCGCCUACGGGAGGAAGCAGGGGAGAAGUUUGCACAAUGGGGGCAAGCGUGAUGCAGCCAUGCCGCGUGUAUGAAGAGGGCUUGCGGGUUGUAAAGUACUUACAGCGGGAGGCGUUACCCGCAGAAGAAGCACCGGCUAACUCCGUGCCAGCAGCCGCGGUAAUAC